rnacentral:rRNA from 1 species
UACGUAGGGUGCGAGCGUUGUCCGGAAUUAUUGGGCGUAAAGGGCUCGUAGGCGGUUUGUCGCGUCUGUCGUGAAAGCUCGGGGCUUAACUCCGGGUCUGCGGUGGAUACGGGCAGGCUAGAGUCCGGCAGGGGAGACUGGAAUUCCUGGUGUAGCGGUGAAAUGCGCAGAUAUCAGGAGGAACACCGGUGGCGAAGGCGGGUCUCUGGGCCGGUACUGACGCUGAGGAGCGAAAGCGUGGGGAGCGAACAGG